rnacentral:rRNA from 1 species
GAUGAACGCUGGCGGCGUGCUUAACACAUGCAAGUCGAACGGAGAAAGGGUAGCUUGCUAUCUUUUCUUAGUGGCGGACGGGUGAGUAACGCGUGGGUAACCUGCCCUUUGCAGGGGGAUAACAGUGAGAAAUCACUGCUAAUACCGCAUACCAACUUCUUUCGCAUGAAAGAAGUUUGAAAGAUUUAUCGGCAAAGGAUGGACCCGCGUUGGAUUAGCUAGUUGGUGAGAUAACAGCCCACCAAGGCAACGAUCCAUAGCCGGCCUGAGAGGGUGAACGGCCACACUGGGACUGAGACACGGCCCAGACUCCUACGGGAGGCAGCAGUGGGGAAUAUUGCACAAUGGGCGAAAGCCUGAUGCAGCGACGCCGCGUGAAGGAUGAAGGUCUUCGGAUUGUAAACUUCUAUCAGCAGGGAAGAAAGGGCCUAUGGCCUAUGACGGUACCUGACUAAGAAGCCCCGGCUAACUACGUGCCAGCAGCCGCGGUAAUCAA